CAUCGGCCUCCAUAAGUUCUUUUUUAAGCAACUCUUUUAUUAAUCAUUUUUAUUUUAGGCUUCGAGAACGAGCUGUUCGUCUUUGUUUCCUACGAAUUUCGUGUGCUACUCCACUUCCUGAUAGAGUUGAUUUUUGAAGUCGUGUGGAGUGGGGCGACCGAUUGAUUUCUAGUUCAAGCUCAUUGAUGUUUUGCUGGUUCUCGUCAGAAGAGAUGAUAGAUAAUUGCAAAUAUCUCCAAGGUAUGAAAGAUCAGGAGAGGCUGGCGAGAUUUCGGGUGUGGACUUCUUCGUGAGUACAGUGGGUCCAUUGAAAGAACCUCCUCUCGUUACUGCCAAUACUGUUCUGUAUCAAGAUGAUCUUGGUGUCAUAUUCAGUGAUGUUGCAUGUUCGAGGAUUUCAUUUGGGUCCAUGCCAUGUGCUUGCCAACAUUGUAUUGGUCUAUAUAUUGAUUUAUCUAUCGUGUGAUGAAAUUUUGUAAUUGGGUCUUAUGUGUUGAACCAACUUUGAAAUAUAGGUUGAUGAAUUGUAUAAAUACAUGUAAUACUCAUUUGAAAAAGGUAAUCUACGUGUGCGAAUAUUGUUUUGAUCCUUCAGUAGCAGAGGAGAAAAGAAAAGAAGUGUGAAAGAGUGCGUAGAAGUGUGAAUAGAAGACUUUGAGUAUAUGUGCUUAACCAAAACUGUGAUCAAGCAUUUGGAGAUGUUAUUCUUUCAAUUCAUGUAAUCUGGAUUGUUGUCCGA